UUAGAACUAAUAAUCUUUAAUGAAUGAAAAUAAGAAAAAGUCACAUAUGAGGUGAUUACAAUCAUUCAUUACAUUGUAACUACUAUUUACAUUAACAUUUACAAUAGUCAUUCAUCAUAAACAUUAUAUAUCUCACAAAGCAAAUGCAGUUGUAGAAACAACAAAAACUGAUUCACAGGGUCACCUAACAUCUCUUACGUAAAAGGCACACAUUGUUAGUAGACAAUAAUGAAAAAUACAGUGAUAAUGGAUUGCUUAAUUUAAAAGGUUUUAUAAAUAUGAAAAUCUCUGCUAUAAAUGAUAAUAGACAUAAAUCAUAAAUAUUAUUUUUAUAUUACAAUUUAGUUAGGACAAUAUAGUCUUAAAAUCAGUAGUAACUUUAUUAUACCUGUAACUUAAUUUAGUAAUUGCAAUAAAAAUAAUUAAAUCGAAAUCUUCAUUUUUAAAUAAGUCUAUUAUACUCAUAUAAUCAUGAGAUAAAUCAAAAUGUAAAAUGUAAUUUUAAAAAAAACCUUAGAUAUGAAUAAAAGUUGAAAAAUAUUUUUUUUUUUUUG